UCAGUGGCGAACGGGUGAGUAACACGUGAGCAACCUGCCCCUGACUCUGGGAUAAGCGCUGGAAACGGCGUCUAAUACUGGAUAUGUGACGUGACCGCAUGGUCUGCGUUUGGAAAGAUUUUUCGGUUGGGGAGGGGCUCGCGGCCUAUCAGCUUGUUGGUGAGGUAAUGGCUCACCAAGGCGUCGACGGGUAGCCGGCCUGAGAGGGUGACCGGCCACACUGGGACUGAGACACGGCCCAGACUCCUACGGGAGGCAGCAGUGGGGAAUAUUGCACAAUGGGCGAAAGCCUGAUGCAGCAACGCCGCGUGAGGGAUGACGGCCUUCGGGUUGUAAACCUCUUUUAGCAGGGAAGAAGCGAAAGUGACGGUACCUGCAGAAAAAGCGCCGGCUAACUACGUGCCAGCAGCCGCGGUAAUACGUAGGGCGCAAGCGUUAUCCGGAAUUAUUGGGCGUAAAGAGCUCGUAGGCGGUUUGUCGCGUCUGCUGUGAAAUCCCGAGGCUCAACCUCGGGCCUGCAGUGGGUACGGGCAGACUAGAGUGCGGUAGGGGAGAUUGGAAUUCCUGGUGUAGCGGUGGAAUGCGCAGAUAUCAGGAGGAACACCGAUGGCGAAGGCAGAUCUCUGGGCCGUAACUGACGCUGAGGAGCGAAAGGGUGGGGAGCAAACAGGCUUAGAUACCCUGGUAGUCCACCCCGUAAACGUUGGGAACUAGUUGUGGGGUCCAUUCCACGGAUUCCGUGACGCAGCUAACGCAUUAAGUUCCCCGCCUGGGGAGUACGGCCGCAAGGCUAAAACUCAAAGGAAUUGACGGGGACCCGCACAAGCGGCGGAGCAUGCGGAUUAAUUCGAUGCAACGCGAAGAACCUUACCAAGGCUUGACAUAUACGAGAACGGGCCAGAAAUGGUCAACUCUU
rnacentral:rRNA from 1 species